UACGAAGGGGCUAGCGUUGCUCGGAAUCACUGGGCGUAAAGCGCACGUAGGCGGACUCUUAAGUCGGUGGUGAAAUCCUGGAGCUCAACUCCAGAACUGCCUUCGAUACUGGGAGUCUCGAGUCCGGGAGAGGUGAGUGGAACUGCGAGUGUAGAGGUGAAAUUCGUAGAUAUUCGCAAAGAACACCAGUGGCGAAGGCGGCUCACUGGCCCGGUACUGACGCUGAGGUGCGAAAAGCGUGGGGGAGCAAACAGGGAUUAAGAAA
rnacentral:rRNA from 1 species